AGCCUGUUGCCGAAGGAAGACAACCUUCAGCCGGACAAAUUCAUAUGGACCGGCCCAGGGUGGAACAUCACCCAGCAGAGAAUCGACCC
rnacentral:SRP_RNA from 1 species